rnacentral:rRNA from 1 species
GGGAUGCCUCAGUAACGGCGAGUGAAGCGGCAAAGCUCAAAUUUGAAAUCUGGCCCCGUCAGGAGCCCGAGUUGUAAUUUGGAGAGGACACUUCGGGUGUGGCUGCGGCGUAAGUCCCUUGGAACAGGGCGUCAUAGAGGGUGAGAGUCCCGUCUUGCGCUGCCGGACCAUGCCCAUGCGAAGUUCCUUCGACGAGUCGAGUUGUUUGGGAAUGCAGCUCUAAGUGGGUGGUAAAUUUCAUCUAAAGCUAAAUAUUGGCCAGAGACCGAUAGCGAACAAGUAGAGUGAUCGAAAGGUUAAAAGCACCUUGAAAAGGGAGUUAAAUAGCACGUGAAAUUGUUGAAAGGGAAGCGCUUGCAACCAGACUCGACCGCAGGGGCUCAGCCAGCAUGUUUGCCGGUGUACUCCCCUGUGUUCGGGCCAGCAUCAGUUCUGGCGGCGGGUCAAAGGCCCCUGGAAUGUAUCGUCCUCCGGGACGUCUUAUAGCCAGGGGUGCAAUGCCGCCAGCCAGGACUGAGGAACGCGCUUCGGCACGGAUGCUGGCAUAAUGGUUGUAAGCGGCCCGUCUUGAAACAC